AUACGGAGGAUGCAAGCGUUAUCCGGAUUUAUUGGGUUUAAAGGGUGCGUAGGCGGUUUGCUAAGCGGGAGGUGAAAUGCCGGCGCUCAACGUCGGAAGUGCCUCCCGAACUGGUGGACUUGAAUGACUCUGCCGUGGGAGGAAUGUGUAGUGUAGCGGUGAAAUGCUUAGAGAUUACACAGAACACCGAUUGCGAAGGCAUCUCACGAAGGGUUGAUUGACGCUGAGGCACGAAAGCGUGGGGAUCAAACAGGAUUAGAUACCCUGGUAGUCCACGCAGUAAACGAUGGUGGCUAACCGCUGGGCUUAUCAGUUCAGUGGCCAAGCGAAAGCGAUAAGCCAUCCACCUGGGGAGUACGACCGCAAGGUUGAAACUCAAAUGAAUUGACGGGG
rnacentral:rRNA from 1 species